GCAAGGACUUCUUCUUGAGAGUCUCGUCUAGGUGAUUGACAAGAAUGUCUGCUCCGUAGGCAAAGUCCUCUACUGUGUCCACACGGAUGCUGGCCACCUUGCAAAUGACUCCCGGGAGGAGACGCGUGUUGGAGACCACCUUCUGAGUGCGUUCCUUGUCAUUGGUCAGGACCAACAGGAUGUCAGGCAUUAGAUGGGCGACACGGUUUUCCCCCAGGUAGAUCCCAUAGUGGGUAAAAUGGGUCCGUGACACCUCCAACACGUCGCCCCGGAGAAAAGAACUGAUUUCAUAGGGACGGUUCUUCCCUGUGUCUCCUCCCGGGGCGCACACACUAAAGAGCUUGAAGUUGGAAAUAAGGAGCAGCUUCUCCAGGAGGAGGGACGCAGCUUCCAGCAUUGGGUUCUUCAUCCUACAGCAACCAGAGUUUCUGCACUGGCCACAACUGAUCUGAGCAAGAGGUGCCGAGGGCGGGCCGAAUGCGGUCACAGGCCAGAGAACACGGAUUGGGCACGGGCGUUCUGCACCCUGACUUCUCCUCGAGCGCUCUGCUUCACUAGGGAGACCUUUAAACAGCCAGCGUAGGAGAGAUGUCAGAGGCGUGGCCGCGCGAAAGAUCCUGCACCUGCCACGAAUGGAACACCUUUCUUGGCGGUGAGAAGCGCCCUCUAAAAUUUCUGUGUGAGACAAGCUCUAACCGGUAGUAAUACCGUGGCCCUCAGCUUACUAAAGCAUUUGCUUUGAUUCUCCAAAGUGUCCACUCCGCGAAUUCCUGCAGAUCCUACUUGAUCUUUGUCGUUUUAAACACACAAGCAUCCAUGAGCUCUCAGGUGGCACGCGAAGAAAUGGAAUUGCUCCUUGUGCGUCCAGUGCCCCAGCUUGGAGGCUCGGAACCCUACAGUCUGGACGCUCCAAGGCUCCAGCGCCUGUUGAGCGCGCGCGCCUUCCAACUGUCAUCAAGAAAUCCCAACGCCCUCCAGCAAAAGCCUCAGCUUCGCUUCACGCACGAUUUGUAGCUUUUGGUAAAUCGCUCCCUGCCGCCCAGGGAGACUUAAGGAAAGGGAACGUUAUGGUUCUGCAGGGCAGUGCGCUUGCAGCAGAACCCAGGCACAGUCGAAGGUGGUGGGGGAGCUGCCUAAGGAGGCUGCUGGGGCUCUCUGCAAGGCUGGGCUUUGGGUUCCCAGACUUGCCUGAAUUUCUGUGCUAAUGGAUUAUGUAAAUGAUUCAAUUCCCAGGACAAAGGCUAUAAGCGCCAUAAAACUAAGCUUAAGUUCCAGGCUAAGGCUGAGAUCUCCAUCUGCCUUGAUGGAACCAGGACCAGCCUGAGGCCUGAGGCCACCCCUCUUUGGAGGACUGGAUCUUUGCUCCCUUACCUGUCUGCUAUAAGUGAUCUGUCCCUGUCGCUGCACUUUUGUUCACUUGUUCACUUCACAGUUGAUUGUAAAUCUCACUGCAGCAUACCCCACACCUCCCCACUGCCUCAAACGGAUAGAAAGAAGUAGGCAUGAUCUUUCAUCAGUCCAUCCACAAUCAUCUUUUCCCGUACGGUCUACCUACUCUGCCAUGCACUGUCCCCUUCCUGGAGGUUCAACAAAAUCAAUCUGUACUUCUUUCCCACACCAU